UCCCUGGUAGUCUAGUGGUUAGGAUUCAACACUUUGACUGCUGUGGCCCGGGUUCAAUACCUGGUUAGGGAA
rfam:TPA: Bos taurus chromosome 19, whole genome shotgun sequence.